rnacentral:pre_miRNA from 15 species
GUUUUGAAGGUAGAGCUCUUCUGAAUUCCAAAGAGGAUCUAAGAGGGAAAAUUGAGCUGCUGAUCUAUGGAUCCCUCAAUCCUAUCUAUUUUCAGAUUAAUUUUAGAUAGGUUUGUGGUUUGCAUAUAUCAGGAGCUGCAUUUACUCUUCUAGGAUCUUUAUUGGAAAGAAGGGAGCUCUACACUUGAUAACC